UACGUAGGGACCAAGCGUUGUUCGGAUUUACUGGGCGUAAAGGGCGCGUAGGCGCGUGGUAAGUCACUUGUGAAAUCUCUGAGCUUAACUCAGAACGGUCAAGUGAUACUGCUGUGCUAGAGUGCGGAAGGGGCAAUCGGAAUUCUUGGUGUAGCGGUGAAAUGCGUAGAUAUCAAGCGGAACACCGGUGGCGAAGGCGGCCUUCUGGACAGUGACUGACGCUGGAGACGCGAAAGCGUGGGGAGCAAACAGG
rnacentral:rRNA from 1 species